AAACCGUUCAGGGGUAAACCUGUGAAACCCAAAAGAUCGAAUGAGGAGAUUCAUCGUCAGCGUAUAGUAUUAAUGCAGGCUAUGAUGUGAUAAUAGAAUCCUCGUGGUCACUAAAUUAUACUUGCUUGUAUUAUUUUUGCUGGAUGCGGCGUGCACUUCUCCAAACCUUAUUCAUUAUUAUUAAUAAAAUAUUUUUUUGACGCAGGUUUUUUNUAGAUUUCAAUCUGGUUAGUAGUGUCU
rnacentral:rRNA from 1 species